UACGAAGGGGGCUAGCGUUGUUCGGAAUUACUGGGCGUAAAGCGCACGUAGGCGGAUCUUUAAGUCAGGGGUGAAAUCCCGGGGCUCAACCCCGGAACAGCCUCUGAUACUGGGGAUCUCGAGUCCGAGAGAGGUGAGUGGAAUUCCGAGUGUAGAGGUGAAAUUCGUAGAUAUUCGGAGGAACACCAGUGGCGAAGGCGGCUCACUGGCCCGAUACUGACGCUGAGGCGCGAAAGCGUGGGGAGCAAACAGG
rnacentral:rRNA from 1 species